CAUGUGAUUCUCCUCCUUGUUUCACCAGGCUGGGGCAGGGGGGUGAAUGGGACUUCGUUGCCACAACAAAAGGGUUACCCAAUGCUGGAUCUGAAACUGGCUUUGCCUGUGCUGCAGGCAAAUGAUUCAUCUCAAUAGGUAGCAGGCUGAUUAAGGAUGCCAGUGAUAAUUCCUCUUUACAGAGGAAUGAACGAUGAGAGUGUAAACAUCCAAAUGGUUUUCUACAUAUUUUUCCAAGAGAAGAAGAGUGGUUGUUUUAGAGAUCUGCUUCCACCUUCUCUGCCAUCACACAGCAAGG